UACGAAGGGGGCUAGCGUUGCUCGGAAUCACUGGGCGUAAAGCGCACGUAGGCGGCUUUCUAAGUCAGGGGUGAAAUCCUGGAGCUCAACUCCAGAACUGCCUUUGAUACUGGAAAGCUUGAGUUCGGGAGAGGUGAGUGGAACUGCGAGUGUAGAGGUGAAAUUCGUAGAUAUUCGCAAGAACACCAGUGGCGAAGGCGGCUCACUGGCCCGAUACUGACGCCGAGGUGCGAAAGCGUGGGGAGCAAACAGG
rnacentral:rRNA from 1 species